rnacentral:rRNA from 1 species
UACGAAGGGGGCUAGCGUUGCUCGGAAUCACUGGGCGUAAAGGGUGCGUAGGCGGGUCUUUAAGUCAGGGGUGAAAUCCUGGAGCUCAACUCCAGAACUGCCUUUGAUACUGAAGAUCUUGAGUUCGGGAGAGGUGAGUGGAACUGCGGAGUGUAGAGGUGAAAUUCGUAGAUAUUCGCAAGAACACCAGUGGCGAAGGCGGCUCACUGGCCCGAUACUGACGCUGAGGCACGAAAGCGUGGGGAGCAAACAGGG